rnacentral:rRNA from 1 species
UACGUAGGGUGCAAGCGUUAAUCGGAAUUACUGGGCGUAAAGCGGGCGCAGGCGGCUUUGCAAGACAGAUGUGAAAUCCCCGGGCUCAACCUGGGAACUGCAUUUGUGACUGCAUGGCUGGAGUGCGGCAGAGGGGGAUGGAAUUCCGCGUGUAGCAGUGAAAUGCGUAGAUAUGCGGAGGAACACCGAUGGCGAAGGCAAUCCCCUGGGCCUGCACUGACGCUCAUGCACGAAAGCGUGGGGAGCAAACAGG